UAACUACAGAAACCGAUCUGACAUCCUUUAGCGUUGUUCCCGUUUGAUUAGCCAAAGAUUAGCUAAACUUAGCCUCAUUCGAAGGAUUUUUCAGUUGCAAUGAAACCGCGCAGUGCCAUAGAAACUAAGCCAGAACGCUGAUCGAGCUCCGCGACUCCUUGAAAUUUGUAUUUUUCUUUCGAGGCAAAAACUCGCAGCACUUGGAUCACGUGCUGUGCAACGUCCGCGGGGUUUGAAGCACAUACGUACAACGAGCGAAUGCUCGAGAUGCCGAUCACAUGUGUGGCAGCGCGAUGCCAUGUUCGGCCUAUUCGCAGGAAGCUGAUUCAUCUUUAGGACCAUCACUUGACUCGUUACUUUGUGGGUGACCUGAAAACCGAAUGAAAAACAUAACGUCGUUAGAUCGUAAAUGUGAUGAGAACGGAUAAUUGGAUUUUACGACCGAUUGGAAUUUGACACGCGAACGCAAGCUGCUGAAAACAUUCACCGGAUAUUCAAACCGCACCGUGAAAGAAACGAAGCAUCGAAUCGAGGCGCGUCAGCAGGCGUAUAUCACUUUCUGAAGCAUCGAAUGUACCUACGAAGGACAUCUUGGGCUAUUCCAACGAUCGCGACCGUUUAAUAAUCGAUUGGAAAGUUUGUCUCGCGGAGCAGAGAUGGGAGGAUCGAUGCAAAAAAUAAGCCGCCACCGAGUGAUAUCGCGCGUAGGCAAAUUGUCGCAGGUGUGUAUCGGGGUUGGCGAGAGUUUGUGCGCUGAUACUCGCGAUACCGGCGUCGCGAAAAACAAAGCUGAGAGCUAGACCACUUUCGCGCGCACCCCGCGCGCUCUCGAGCACUCUCCUGGAAAAAGAGCCUGUUCGAGGGGAAAGAAAGCUUCUGUACGCUUUUUUCCUUUCAGCGAUGAAUCUACUUUACUUCAUCGCGGAUGGUGACGCUCGCGCUUACUGCACGCGUAUGCAUACGAGUGAAUGCACUUUGGAAUUCGUGCGGCUACCUGUUCAGAGUGAAGCAUCAUCCGAUUCGUAUGACGCUGAAGAUUGCAACGUUCGAGUCCAGCGAAAUGGUCGAAAAAAAUGCAAUUAAUUCGAGUAAAUCUCGAAUUUCGUUUCCUGUCGAAAUUGCAAUUCGUCAUUUUUCAAGCCACAUCAAUGAUUCGUGAAACCAGCGUCGUUCGAUUUGUCAGCUAUCUUUGCAAUUAUCGUAGCAACAAUCGACAUCUACCGCGUCAUUAUUUUCUCAUUUAUUCUUUCACAGCUGCGUGCAAACACAU
rnacentral:lncRNA from 1 species